rfam:Pteropus alecto contig35540, whole genome shotgun sequence.
AUCUAUGACCAUGCCACCGUGAAUGUGCCCAAUCCCAUCUGAUCUCGGAAGCUAAGCAGGGUCGGGCCUGGUUAGUACUUGGAUGGGAGACCACCUAGGAAGACCAGGUGCUGUAGGCG